UACGUAGGGUGCGAGCGUUAAUCGGAAUUACUGGGCGUAAAGCGUGCGCAGGCGGUUCGUUAAGUUCGUUGUGAAAGCCCCGGGCUCAACCUGGGAACUGCAAUGGAAACUGGCGGGCUUGAAUGCGGCAGAGGGGGGUGGAAUUCCGCGUGUAGCAGUGAAAUGCGUAGAGAUCCGGAGGAACACCAGUGGCGAAAGCGGCCACCUGGACUGUACCUGACGCUGAAACGCGAAAGCUAGGGGAGCGAACGGG
rnacentral:rRNA from 1 species